ACUUGAGUGCUCUGAACCAGGGGUCCCCGGCCCCCGGGCCAGAGGACCGCCAGCGGUCCGCAUUCUGUAGGGAACCGGGCUGCGCAGCUGGAGAAACCGGUCUCUGGUGCCAGAAAGGUUGGGGACCGCUGGUCUAAACCAUCGAGAGCUUCACGUUGGUGCGAGACAAGACCCAGCAGAGAAACCCAGUCAUGUUUGCCUUGGAAAACUCCUGUCUCCUGUUGAUUUCUUAUGGAAACAGAAUCGUCCCACGUGGGAACGGAAAGAACGCAUCCAGGCCAUCCGCUCGGAUUACACAUCCGGAAGGGGAAACCGGGCAGAAGGCACGGCUGGCCCCAGGCAAGGAUUUUUUUUUUUUUCCCCCCAACCGAAAGGACAAGGGAAGAGGUAUUUGUGUGGUGUCAUAGUGGUGACCUUCGAGAAGCGAGCCCAUUGCAAACGUAUCCCUCUGGUGGCCUUUUGAGUCGAGCAAUGUAGCAGCUCCUUUCUGAGGUACUUCUUAGCAAACAGAAUAUAAUUAAAACAAUUGUCACAACAUUGGCAAUGCUUUAAAGCAAAUUUCUAGAGGCCUGGUUUCCUGCUGUUGGCAAUAGCAGCCCACCAGUAAAAAAUACCACAGAAAUAAAAAUUCUGUGUAUUCUUUUCAACAGAAGAAUUGGAA